rnacentral:lncRNA from 1 species
AACGUGGGUAAAGCAGCAAAGGAAGGAAACUCAUGGGCAGAGAAACAUGGAGUGUCCAGGUGUCCUCUCCCCGUGGAGUCAUGCAACACUCAGUGUUGAUACCCAAAUAUCAGUAUGAGAGAGAGAGAGAGAGCAGGAGUGGGAGAGGCAAAGGAGAGGGAGAGAAGAUCUCAAGCAGACUCAUGCUGAACACAGAGCCAAGGUAGACUCGAUCCCACAACCUUGAGAUCACAACCUGAACUGAAACCCAAGAGUUGGAUACAUAACGGACAGCACCAUUCAGGCGUUCCUGGAAUAUUGUCUUUCAUAAAAUAUUUUCUAAACUUUUUGCCCUUUUACAAAAAUGGCUGUUUGCCUUUAUUAUUGAGGCAUUAUUAUUCUUUACAUGUUCCCUCUAGAUGCUUGUCUUCUGGCAGAUAUUAAUCUUGCAAAUACUUUCUCACAGUCUGUACCAUACCUUUCAUUUUCUUGAUUAUGUUUUUCAGAGAACUGAAGGUUUUUUAAUUUUGAUGAAGCCCAAUUUAUAAUUUUUAUUCCUCUGGUCCUAAGAAAUAUUAGCUUACCUUAAGGGCAUUAAGAUUUUCUUUUUGAAUUUUGUAACUUCAGCUUUUCUGUUUAGGUUUAUGAUCCAUGUUGAAUCUUUUCCUAAUGUGUCAUGUGAGAUAAAAGCAUAUUUGAAAUUUAGAUAUGGGCUAGUUAUUUUAUAUUGGGUAAAUAUGGUUAAAUUUUCUUGGAAGAUAUAAUAGAGUGAGAUUACGUAGGAAAAUGUUCUGAUUUUAUGUAGAAAAGCUGAAUUAGUUUGGGGUAAAUAUUAAUAUUUUUUCCAAUUCAUUCUUCUCACUCAGAAAAAGAAAAACAAAUAUAAAAUGCUCUAUGUCUUGCUACCUACAUAGAUAAAUAAAGCAAAUAUUAUUGAACUAGGAAGAUGAAUA